GCAGGGAAUCUUGCGCAAUGGACGAAAGUCUGACGCAGCGACACCGCGUGGAGGAUGAAGGCCUUAGGGUUGUAAACUCCUUUUAUAGGGGAAGAGAACGGACGGUACCUUAUGAAUAAGGAUCGGCUAACUACGUGCCAGCAGCCGCGGUAAUACGUAGGAUCCGAGCGUUGUCCGGAUUUACUGGGCGUAAAGGGUGCGUAGGCGGUUUGUCAAGUCUUAUGUGAAAUCUCCCGGCUCAACUGGGAGGGGUCAUAGGAAACUGGCAGACUUGAGGGCAGUAGAGGAGAGCGGAAUUCCUGGAGUAGCGGUGAUAUGCGUAGAUACCAGGAGGAACACCAGAGGCGAAAGCGGCUCUCUGGGCUGUACCUGACGCUGAGGCACGAAAGCGUGGGGAGCAAACCGG
rnacentral:rRNA from 1 species